CCGCCGCCUCUCCUGCGGGCCGUCACGCGCAGCCGGCGCCCAGCCCGGAGGACCCCGAGCCUGGUCCCCGGGGUUCAGCCCGAGGGCGGAAGGGGGCGCAAGGGGCGCGCUGGGCCCCGAACCCGGAGAGCGGGGCUUCUGCUGUGCGCACCACCGGCCCCGAGGGGGCGCCCGAGCCCGCCCCGGAGCGCCUCGGGGUCAGGCCCGCCCGGCGCCGCCCCCUCAGCGCGACGCCGCUCGGCGGCCCUGGGUCCGCGGCCUGUCACAGUGAGUCCCGGGCGUCCUCCUCAGCCGGGCGAGGAGGGCCUCGGCCGCGGGCCCUCGGAGAAGCGUUUGUCCUCCGAGGCGAGCACGGAACCUUGGAGUCUCCGCCUCGUUCCCACGGGCUUUAUUCUUACGAAAUUCGCUUGCCUAUUUAGUGCUUUACAUUUCCGCGAGUGAAAUACCAGUGAAAGACAAGACAGUUGGUGGCUGAGCUAGUGAAAAUGCAUCCACAGGUGAGUAGGAAAUUGCUCUUUCUGGUUAAAUGACACCUUUGUUUUCAGCAGAUGAUUCCUUCUUUUGACAUGAAUGUCCUAAGUUUAGUCAGAGAUAUUCAAAGAUCUAAGCUCCAGUUAAUUUUCCCCAGUAUUGUGG
rnacentral:lncRNA from 1 species